rnacentral:rRNA from 1 species
GCGGUAAUACGUAGGGGGCUAGCGUUAUCCGGAUUUACUGGGCGUAAAGGGUGCGUAGGCGGUCUUUCAAGUCAGGAGUGAAAGGCUACGGCUCAACCGUAGUAAGCUCUUGAAACUGGGAGACUUGGGUGCAGGAGAGGAGAGUGGAAUUCCUAGUGUAGCGGUGAAAUGCGUAGAUAUUAGGAGGAACACCAGUUGCGAAGGCGGCUCUCUGGACUGUAACUGACGCUGAGGCACGAAAGCGUGGGGAGCAAACAGGAUUAGAUACCCUGGUAGUCCACGCUGUAAACGA